rnacentral:rRNA from 1 species
GGGAAUAUUGGACAAUGGGGGCAACCCUGAUCCAGCCAUGCCGCGUGAGUGAUGAAGGCCUUCGGGUUGUAAAGCUCUUUUGCACGGGACGAUCAUGACGGUACCGUGAGAAUAAGCCCCGGCUAACUUCGUGCCAGCAGCCGCGGUAAUACGAAGGGGGCAAGCGUUGUUCGGAAUUACUGGGCGUAAAGGGCGCGUAGGCGGUUUUUCAAGUCAGAUGUGAAAGCCCUGGGCUUAACCCGGGAUGUGCAUUUGAGACUGGAUGACUAGAAUCCGAGAGAGGUUGGUGGAAUUCCCAGUGUAGAGGUGAAAUUCGUAGAGAUUGGGAAGAACACCGGUGGCGAAGGCGGCCAACUGGCUCGGUAUUGACGCUGAGGCGCGAAAGCGUGGGGAGCAAAC